CUGCCAGAAGUGGAGAGCUCUGUGUGUCCACAGAACAGGUAGAAAACAGGCAAUGGCAAUGCUGGCCUGCCCACACUGCCCUCUUCAUGGUCUUCACCCCAAGCAGCCACCUCUGAGGAUCAGUUUAGCUUUCACACCACUCAGAAUCUGGUCUCC
rnacentral:sRNA from 12 species